ACAAACAAAAGUCAGGUGUGA
rnacentral:piRNA from 1 species